UUAAGCGACUAAGCGUACACGGUGGAUGCCCUGGCAGUCAGAGGCGAUGAAGGACGUGCUAAUCUGCGAAAAGCGUCGGUAAGGUGAUAUGAACCGUUAUAGCCGGCGAUGUCCGAAUGGGGAAACCCAGUGCAAUUCGUUGCACUAUCGUUAACUGAAUACAUAGGUUAACGAGGCGAACCGGGGGAACUGAAACAUCUAAGUACCCCGAGGAAAAGAAAUCAACCGAGAUUCCCCCAGUAGCGGCGAGCGAACGGGGAGCAGCCCGGAGUCUGAAUCAGCUUGUGUGUUAGUGGAAGCGUCUGGAAAGUCGCAGGGUACAGGGUGAUACUCCCGUACACUAAAACGCACAGGCUGUGAACUCGAAGAGUAGGGCGGGACACGUGGUAUCCUGUCUGAAUAUGGGGGGACCAUCCUCCAAGGCUAAAUACUCCUGACUGACCGAUAGUGAACCAGUACCGUGAGGGAAAGGCGAAAAGAACCCCGGCGAGGGGAGUGAAAAAGAACCUGAAACCGUGUACGUACAAGCAGUAGGAGCCUCUUUAUGGGGUGACUGCGUACCUUUUGUAUAAUGGGUCAGCGACUUAUAUUCUGUAGCAAGGUUAACCGUAUAGGGGAGCCGCAGGGAAACCGAGUCUUAACUGGGCGUUAAGUUGCAGGGUAUAGACCCGAAACCCGGUGAUCUAGCCAUGGGCAGGUUGAAGGUUGGGUAACACUAACUGGAGGACCGAACCGACUAAUGUUGAAAAAUUAGCGGAUGACUUGUGGCUGGGGGUGAAAGGCCAAUCAAACCGGGAGAUAGCUGGUUCUCCCCGAAAGCUAUUUAGGUAGCGCCUCGUGAAUUCAUCUUCGGGGGUAGAGCACUGUUUCGGCUAGGGGGUCAUCCCGACUUACCAACCCGAUGCAAACUACGAAUACCGAAGAAUGUUAUCACGGGAGACACACGGCGGGUGCUAACGUCCGUCGUGAAGAGGGAAACAACCCAGACCGCCAGCUAAGGUCCCAAAGUCAUGGUUAAGUGGGAAACGAUGUGGGAAGGCCCAGACAGCCAGGAUGUUGGCUUAGAAGCAGCCAUCAUUUAAAGAAAGCGUAAUAGCUCACUGGUCGAGUCGGCCUGCGCGGAAGAUGUAACGGGGCUAAACCAUGCACCGAAGCUGCGGCAGCGACACUAUGUGUUGUUGGGUAGGGGAGCGUUCUGUAAGCCGUUGAAGGUGGCCUGUGAGGGUUGCUGGAGGUAUCAGAAGUGCGAAUGCUGACAUAAGUAACGAUAAUGCGGGUGAAAAACCCGCACGCCGGAAGACCAAGGGUUCCUGUCCAACGUUAAUCGGGGCAGGGUGAGUCGACCCCUAAGGCGAGGCCGAAAGGCGUAGUCGAUGGGAAACAGGUUAAUAUUCCUGUACUCGGUGUUACUGCGAAGGGGGGACGGAGAAGGCUAUGUUGGCCGGGCGACGGUUGUCCCGGUUUAAGCAUGUAGGCGGAUGUUCCAGGUAAAUCCGGAACGUUACUAACGCUGAGGUGUGAUGACGAGGCACUACGGUGCUGAAGUGACAAAUGCCCUGCUUCCAGGAAAAGCCUCUAAGCAUCAGGUAACAUCAAAUCGUACCCCAAACCGACACAGGUGGUCAGGUAGAGAAUACCAAGGCGCUUGAGAGAACUCGGGUGAAGGAACUAGGCAAAAUGGUGCCGUAACUUCGGGAGAAGGCACGCUGAUAUGUAGGUGAAGUGGUUUACCCAUGGAGCUGAAAUCAGUCGAAGAUACCAGCUGGCUGCAACUGUUUAUUAAAAACACAGCACUGUGCAAACACGAAAGUGGACGUAUACGGUGUGACGCCUGCCCGGUGCCGGAAGGUUAAUUGAUGGGGUUAUCCGUAAGGAGAAGCUCUUGAUCGAAGCCCCGGUAAACGGCGGCCGUAACUAUAACGGUCCUAAGGUAGCGAAAUUCCUUGUCGGGUAAGUUCCGACCUGCACGAAUGGCGUAAUGAUGGCCAGGCUGUCUCCACCCGAGACUCAGUGAAAUUGAACUCGCUGUGAAGAUGCAGUGUACCCGCGGCAAGACGGAAAGACCCCGUGAACCUUUACUAUAGCUUGACACUGAACACUGGUCCUUGAUGUGUAGGAUAGGUGGGAGGCUUUGAAGCGUGGACGCCAGUCUGCGUGGAGCCAUCCUUGAAAUACCACCCUUUAAUGGCUGGUGUUCUAACGUGGGCCCGUUAUCCGGGUUGCGGACAGUGUCUGGUGGGUAGUUUGACUGGGGCGGUCUCCUCCUAAAGAGUAACGGAGGAGCACGAAGGUCAGCUAAUCCUGGUCGGACAUCAGGAGGUUAGUGCAAUGGCAUAAGCUGGCUUGACUGCGAGCGUGACGGCGCGAGCAGGUGCGAAAGCAGGUCAUAGUGAUCCGGUGGUUCUGAAUGGAAGGGCCAUCGCUCAACGGAUAAAAGGUACUCCGGGGAUAACAGGCUGAUACCGCCCAAGAGUUCAUAUCGACGGCGGUGUUUGGCACCUCGAUGUCGGCUCAUCACAUCCUGGGGCUGAAGUAGGUCCCAAGGGUAUGGCUGUUCGCCAUUUAAAGUGGUACGCGAGCUGGGUUUAGAACGUCGUGAGACAGUUCGGUCCCUAUCUGCCGUGGGCGCUGGAGAAUUGAGGGGGGCUGCUCCUAGUACGAGAGGACCGGAGUGGACGCAUCACUGGUGUUCGGGUUGUCAUGCCAAUGGCAUUGCCCGGUAGCUAAAUGCGGAAGAGAUAAGUGCUGAAAGCAUCUAAGCACGAAACUUGCCCCGAGAUGAGUUCUCCCUGACUCCUUGAGAGUCCUGAAGGAACGUUGAAGACGACGACGUUGAUAGGCCGGGUGUGUAAGCGCAGCGAUGCGUUGAGCUAACCGGUACUAAUGAACCGUGAGGCUUAACCUU
rnacentral:rRNA from 1 species